AAAGGACAAAGGCAAAGUUCCAGCCCUAACUCUACGGCUAUCAAAAGGACCCGAGAUGUCCGCUGAGCUCUGCUCACUUCUCGAGGACUCUUUUACACCUGUAAAGGGGGAAUGCCAUUACCUGUCCCCUGCCUGGUUCCCAAGGACUAAUGAGUGAGGAUUUAAGAGACAAUCUCCAAGGACCUCAGGAAUUAAUUCACGAACAUUAGGUUAAGAAGCUCUGGCCCCAGGAAUCCACCAAUCCAGGUAGAGGAAGUUGUCAUAUGGAAUUAGCAAUAUUGAGAGGAAUCAAGAAGCAUGCAAUCAAAACUAAGCAUUAUUUUAUCCAAUUGUUUCUUAUUCUGUUCCCAGCCAAUAACUUAUUAGAAUUAAGUCAAAGGAUCUAUACCCCUUUCUAAAUAAAAAUUGCUCAAGAGAUUUAAGAAAC